rnacentral:rRNA from 1 species
UACGUAGGGUGCAAGCGUUAAUCGGAAUUACUGGGCGUAAAGCGUGCGCAGGCGGUUUUGUAAGUCUGACGUGAAAUCCCCGGGCUCAACCUGGGAAUUGCGUUGGAGACUGCAAGGCUAGAAUCUGGCAGAGGGGGGUAGAAUUCCACGUGUAGCAGUGAAAUGCGUAGAGAUGUGGAGGAACACCGAUGGCGAAGGCAGCCCCCUGGGUCAAGAUUGACGCUUAUGCACGAAAGGCGUGGGGAGCAAACAGG